AUCUUAAUUAUUUAUUAAUAUUUUAUUAAAUUUUAGUUAUAUAUCUUAAAAGGAUAUUUUAGAAGAAAAAAAUACUACCACUUUUCAUGUCAUGAGAAGUGCCAAAACCCACCUUCUCCAUGAAUUUUUACUUUCCAUAAAAUAUGGGAAGUGACUUCCUAUGGAAAGUACUUUUUCUACUCUCUCUCCUCUUAAAACUCCAACCA
rnacentral:lncRNA from 1 species